rnacentral:rRNA from 1 species
AUGGCGUUUGCGGCGGCGGGGAAGGAGAUGGGGCGAGCGUCCUACAUCCGGAUCAAGCACGGGGAGGAGCGGCGCGAGGCGUCCUGGAAGGAGUCCGAGGGCCGGGUCUUCUCCGCCACCACGCGCACCGAUGUUGCCGCGCGCCUUGGCGAGCUCCGCGACCAGAUCCUCGCCGGUUGCGCCUCCUUCACCUACCUCGCCGCACAGCACUCCGGCUGCUCCUCCGCCCGCCGCGGCGCGACCUAG